rnacentral:pre_miRNA from 1 species
UAAUUUAGGGCUUGAUCCAAAGUCCACUGAAAUCAACGGGAGUCUUUCCGUUGACUUCAAUGUGCUUUGGGUCAGGUACUUAGAGA